rnacentral:rRNA from 1 species
CACGUAGGAGGCGAGCGUUGUUCGGAUUUACUGGGCGUAAAGGGCGCGUAGGCGGCCAGCACAAGUCAGUUGUGAAAUCUCCGAGCUUAACUCGGAAAGGUCAACUGAUACUGUGCGGCUAGAGUGCAGAAGGGGCAACUGGAAUUCUUGGUGUAGCGGUGAAAUGCGUAGAUAUCAAGAGGAACACCUGCGGCGAAGGCGGGUUGCUGGGCUGACACUGACGCUGAGGCGCGAAAGCUAGGGGAGCGAACGGG